AACGAACGCUGGCGGCGCGUUUUAAGCAUGCAAGUCGGACGGCAAGAGUGGUAGCAAUACUGCUCCUAGAGUGGCAAACGGGUGAGUAACACGUAGGUGAUCUGCCUCUGGAUGGGGGAUAGUCCGUGGAAACACGGGGUAAUACCGCAUGAGGCCCUGAGGGUAGAGCCUUGGGGUGAAAGGUGCAAUUGCACCGUCUGGGGAUGAGCCUGCGGUCCAUUAGGUAGUUGGCGGGGUAAGAGCCCACCAAGGCUCAGACGGGUAGCUGGUCUGAGAGGACGACCAGCCACACUGGGACUGGAACACGGCCCAGACUCCUACGGGAGGCAGCAGUGAGGAAUAUUGCGCAAUGGGCGAAAGCCUGACGCAGCAACGCCGCGUGAGGGAAGAAGGCUUUCGG
rnacentral:rRNA from 1 species